rnacentral:rRNA from 1 species
AACGAACGCUGGCGGCAUGCCUAACACAUGCAAGUCGAACGAGAUCUUCGGGUCUAGUGGCGCACGGGUGCGUAACGCGUGGGAAUCUGCCCUUUGGUUCGGAAUAACAGUUGGAAACGACUGCUAAUACCGGAUGAUGACGAAAGUCCAAAGAUUUAUCGCCAGAGGAUGAGCCCGCGUAGGAUUAGCUAGUUGGUGUGGUAAAGGCGCACCAAGGCGACGAUCCUUAGCUGGUCUGAGAGGAUGAUCAGCCACACUGGGACUGAGACACAGCCCAGACUCCUACGGGAGGCAGCAGUGCGGAAUAUUGGACAAUGGGCGAAAGCCUGAUCCAGCAAUGCCGCGUGAGUGAUGAAGGCCUUAGGGUUGUAAAGCUCUUUUACCCGGGAUGAUAAUGACAGUACCGGGAGAAUAAGCUCCGGCUAACUCCGUGCCAGCCGCCGCAGUAA